GAAACGACUGCUAAGACUGGAUAGGAAGUUUUAGGCAUCUUGGCUUUUAAAAGACCUCGCAAGGGUAUGCUGAGAGAUGGGCUUGCGGCACAUUAGUUAGUUGGUAAGGUAACGGCUUACCAAGACCGUGAUGUGUAGCUGGACUGAGAGGUUGAACGGCCACAUUGGGACUGAGAUACGGCCCAAACUCCUACGGGAGGCAGCAGUAAGGAAUUUUCGGCAAUGGAGGAAACUCUGACCGAGCAACGCCGCGUGAACGAUGAAGUAUUUAGGUAUGUAAAGUUCUUUUAUUAAAGAAGAAAAAAUGAUGGAAAAAUCAUUCUGACGGUAUUUAAUGAAUAAGCCCCGGCUAACUAUGUGCCAGCAGCUGCGGUAAUACAUGGGGGGCAAGCGUUAUCCGGAUUUAUUGGGCGUAAAGGGUGCGUAGGCGGUUUAAUAAGUCUAUGGUCUAAGUUCAACGCUUAACGUUGUGAUGCUAUAGAAACUGUUUGACUAGAGUUGGAUAGAGGCAAGUGGAAUUCCAUGUGUAGCGGUAAAAUGCGUAAAGAUAUGGAGGAACACCAGUAGCGAAGGCGGCUUGCUGGGUCUUAACUGACGCUGAGGCACGAAAGCGUGGGGAGCAAACAGGAUUAGAUACCCUGGUAGUCCACGCCGUAAACGAUGAGUACUAAGUGUUGGGUUAAACCAGUGCUGAAGUUAACGCAUUAAGUACUCCGCCUGAGUAGUACGUACGCAAGUAUGAAACUUAAAGGAAUUGACGGGACUCCGCACAAGCGGUGGAUCAUGUUGUUUAAUUCGAAGAUACACGAAAAACCUUACCAGGUCUUGGACAUACUCUGCAAAGCUAUAGAAUAUAGUGGAGGUUAUCAGGGAUACAGGUGGGUGCAUGGGUUGUCGUCAGCUCGUGUCGUGAGAUGUUGGGUUAAGUCCCGCAACGAGCGCAACCCUUAUCGCUAGUUACCAUCAUUUAGUUGGGCACUUUAGUGAGACUGCCAAUGAUAAAUUGGAGGAAGGUGGGGAUUACGUCAAAUCAUCAUGCCCCUUAUGACCUGGGCUACAAACGUGAUACAAUGGCUGUUACAAAGAGUAGCUGAAGCGUGAGUUUUUAGCAAAUCUCAAAAAAACAGUCUCAGUUCGGAUUGAAGUCUGCAACUCGACUUCAUGAAGUCGGAAUCGCUAGUAAUCGCGAAUCAGCAUGUCGUGGUGAAUACGUUCUCGGGGUUUGUACACACCGCC
rnacentral:rRNA from 1 species